rnacentral:tRNA from 2 species
AGGGGUAUAGCUCAGCUGGUAGAGCAGUGGUCUCCAAAACCACGUGUCCCGAGUUCGAUUCUUGGUGCCCCUGCCA